rnacentral:rRNA from 1 species
GAUGAACGCUGGCGGCGUGCCUAAUACAUGCAAGUCGAGCGAACGGACGAGAAGCUUGCUUCUCUGAUGUUAGCGGCGGACGGGUGAGUAACACGUGGAUAACCUACCUAUAAGACUGGGAUAACUUCGGGAAACCGGAGCUAAUACCGGAUAAUAUUUUGAACCGCAUGGUUCAAAAGUGAAAGACGGUCUUGCUGUCACUUAUAGAUGGAUCCGCGCUGCAUUAGCUAGUUGGUAAGGUAACGGCUUACCAAGGCAACGAUGCAUAGCCGACCUGAGAGGGUGAUCGGCCACACUGGAACUGAGACACGGUCCAGACUCCUACGGGAGGCAGCAGUAGGGAAUCUUCCGCAAUGGGCGAAAGCCUGACGGAGCAACGCCGCGUGAGUGAUGAAGGUCUUCGGAUCGUAAAACUCUGUUAUUAGGGAAGAACAUAUGUGUAAGUAACUGUGCACAUCUUGACGGUACCUAAUCAAAAAGCCACGGCUAACUACGUG